rnacentral:RNase_P_RNA from 1 species
AGAGCUGGUUGGGCAGUCGCCUGGAUUACGGUUCAGGAGGAAAGUCCGGGCUCCAGGGGCAAGGUGCCAGGUAACGCCUGGGCGGCGCGAGCUGACGGAAAGUGCAACAGAAAGUAUACCGCCUGAAAGUUUCGUCCAGACUCUGGACGGUAUAGGCUACAGGUAAGGGUGAAAUGGUGUGGUAAGAGCGCACCGCGAUUUCGGUAACGAAUUCGGCAUUGUAAACCCCACCUGGAGCAAGACCAAAUAGAAGUCCGAUAACGCGGCCCUCGUUGGACUUGGGUAGGUCGCUUGAGUCUCGCAGUGAUGUGAGUCCUAGAUGAAUGGCUGCCAUCGAUUGCAAAAUCGUACAGAACCCGGCUUAUAGACCGGCUCUUUUC